GGACCAAGGAGUCUAGCAUGUGCGCGAGUCAUUGGGACAAGCGAAACCUAAAGGCGUAAUGAAAGUGAAGGCUCGCCUCGCGCGUGCCGAGGGAGGAUGGGCGGCGUCACGAUGCCGCCUCGCACUCCCGGGGCGUCUCGUUCUCAUUGCGAGAAGAGGCGCACCCAGAGCGUACACGCUGGGACCCGAAAGAUGGUGAACUAUGCCUGGUCAGGACGAAGUCAGGGGAAACCCUGAUGGAGGUCCGUAGCGAUUCUGACGUGCAAAUCGAUCGUCGGAACUGGGUAUAGGGGCGAAAGACUAAUCGAACCAUCUAGUAGCUGGUUCCCUCCGAAGUUUCCCUCAGGAUAGCUGGCGCUCGCUUUGCGAGUCUCAUCCGGUAAAGCGAAUGAUUAGAGGCAUUGGGGUCGAAACGGCCUCAACCUAUUCUCAAACUUUAAAUGGGUGAGAUCUCCGGCUUGCUCGAACUUGAAGCCGCGAGAUUUUACACAAGGAUCAGGGUGCCAAGUGGGCCACUUUUGGUAAGCAGAACUGGCGCUGUGGGAUGAACCAAACGCCGAGUUAAAGCGCCUAAAUCGACGCUUAUGGG
rnacentral:rRNA from 1 species